GGCGGCGUAGCUUAGUUGGCUAGAGCGUCCGGUUCAUACCCGGAAGGUCGAUGGUUCGAGUCCAUCCGCCGCUA
rnacentral:tRNA from 1 species